AGUCAACAUAACCAAGGGACGUGGAUAAUCUCGGGAAACUGAGGCUAAACCGCGAUAGACCAAGAUACCUGGAAUGGUUUUUGAUCAAAAUCUAUAUGGCCCUUGGAUUGGACUGCGUCCGAUCAGGCUGUUGGUGAGGUAAUGGCCCACCAAACCUAUAACCGGUACGGGCUCUGAGAGGAGGAGCCCGGAGAUGGGUACUGAGACAAGGACCCAGGCCCUAUGGGGCGCAGCAGGCGCGAAACCUCUGCAAUAGGCGAAAGCCUGACAGGGUUACUCUGAGUGACUUUCGCUAAGAAGGUCUUUUGACAUCUGUAAAAAUGGUGUAGAAUAAGGGGUGGGCAAGUCUGGUGUCAGCCGCCGCGGUAAUACCAGCACCCCGAGUGGUCGGGACGAUUAUUGGGCCUAAAGCAUCCGUAGCCGGUUUUACAAGUCCUCCGUUAAAUCCAACUGCUUAACAGAUGGGCUGCGGAGGAUACUAUAAGACUAGGAGGCAGGAGAGGCAAGCGGUACUCAGUGGGUAGGGGUAAAAUCCGUUGAUCCAUUGAAGACCACCAGUGGCGAAGGCGGCUUGCCAGAAUGCGCUCGACGGUGAGGGAUGAAAGCUGGGGG
rnacentral:rRNA from 1 species